rnacentral:rRNA from 1 species
CCUACGGGAGGCAGCAGUGGGGAAUUUUGGACAAUGGGCGCAAGCCUGAUCCAGCAAUGCCGCGUGAGUGAAGAAGGCCUUCGGGUUGUAAAGCUCUUUUGUCAGGGAAGAAACGGCUGAGGAUAAUACCUUUGGCUAAUGACGGUACCUGAAGAAUAAGCACCGGCUAACUACGUGCCAGCAGCCGCGGUAAUACGUAGGGUGCAAGCGUUAAUCGGAAUUACUGGGCGUAAAGCGUGCGCAGGCGGUUUUGUAAGUCUGACGUGAAAUCCCCGGGCUCAACCUGGGAAUUGCGUUGGAGACUGCAAGGCUGGAGUCUGGCAGAGGGGGGUAGAAUUCCACGUGUAGCAGUGAAAUGCGUAGAGAUGUGGAGGAACACCGAUGGCGAAGGCAGCCCCCUGGGUCAAGACUGACGCUCAUGCACGAAAGCGUGGGGAGCAAACAGGAUUAGAUACCCUGGUAGUCCACGCCCUAAACGAUGUCUACUAGUUGUCGGGUCUUAAUUGACUUGGUAACGCAGCUAACGCGUGAAGUAGACCGCCUGGGGAGUACGGUCGCAAGNUUAAAACNCAAAGUGAUAGACGCGUGAGAGUAGCGACGGACGACGACGAGGGGAGGAGG